rnacentral:snRNA from 1 species
AAAGGCAGAGGAAAUACCAAGAUCAGAAAGGUGGUUUUCCAAGGGUAAGACUUAUCCAUUGCACUCCAGAUGCGCUAACCCCUGAAAUUUCCCCAAAUGUGGGAAACUCGACUGCAUAAUUUGUGAUAAUGGGGGGCUGCAUUUAUGCUCUCCCCUA